rnacentral:rRNA from 1 species
AUGAACGCUGGCGACGUGGAUAAGGCAUGCAAGUCGAGGGACCCGCAAGGGGACCGGCAGACGAGGUAGUAAUACGUAGGAACGUACCCCAAAGUCGGGAAUAGCCCACCGAAAGGUGGAUUAAUAUCCGAUAGUCUCUAAGGAGUAAAGCUCCGGCGCUUUGGGAACGGCCUGCGGGCUAUCAGCUUGUUGGUAGGGUAAAAGCCUACCAAGGCUAUGACGGCUAGGGGAGGUGAGAGCCUGACCCCCACCGAUGGUACUGAGAUACGGACCAUACACCUACGGGUGGCUGCAGUCGAGAAUCUUCCACAAUGGACGAAAGUCUGAUGGAGCGACGUCGCGUGAUUGAUGAAGUCCUUCGGGAUGUAAAGAUCUUUUAUGAGGGAGGAAGUCUAUUGACGUUACCUCAUGAAUAAGGGGUUGCUAAACUCGU